GAUCCUGGCUCAGGACGAACGCUGGCGGCACGCUUAACACAUGCAAGUCGAACGAGAGAAGAGAAGCUUGAUUUUCUGAUCUAGUGGCGGACGGGUGAGUAACACGUGAGCAAUCUGCCUUUCAGAGGGGGAUACCGGAUUGGAAACGAUCGUUAAUGCCGCAUAAUAUAAUUGAACCGCAUGAUUUGAUUAUCAAAGAUUUAUCGCUGAAAGAUGAGCUCGCGU
rnacentral:rRNA from 1 species